rnacentral:tRNA from 1 species
CCUUCGAUAGCUCAGUUGGUAGAGCGGUGGACUGUAGUACGGCAGCUUGCGGCGGUUGCUGUUGGGGGUCGAUGAUCAUCCAUCGAUCAGUGAGAGGAAACUCUCGCCUCACCCCUUCAGCAGAGCACAACUCAUCAAAGCGCGCAAUAGCUAUCCAUAGGUCACUGGUUCAAAUCCGGUUCGAAGGA